AUGCACCAGGCAAAGUGUACUCCACAAGGACCACCGACACAGUCCAGCAAGAAAUCAAUGCACACAAGGCUCAAGUUUGAACUCCGACCUUCCUGUUCCAGUCACCGCCGCAGGGUCCCUCGUGAAGUGUCACCCGAAUUCUCUCCACGAUCAGCUCCUUACCCGCCGCCACCCCCCUGUGAAGACCCAGUACCGAGGCUGCCAACCCACGCGCGUCUAGAGAUCGGAGGAGGGGCGUGCGUGGCGGCUCCGACCGGCUCCUCCCGCACCACCGCGACCUGGCGGCUUUUCCCGGGCCUUCCUCCGGCGGGGCGAGGCCGAGCGAGGCAGCUACGGAGACCCAGCCUCAGGGGCCACUCGCGCCCCAGCGGGCUCUCGCGUCUGUGGGCCCCGGCUGGCCUCGCUCCCACUCCCCUUCCGCGGCCCAGAGCGCCCGCAGCACGCGCUUCCUUCCUCCGCUCCCUAGCUCCAGCCCGCUGCCAGCCCGCGGGACCCACAGGCGGCCCCGAAGUAGCGGCGACCGCCCCGCCCCGUCCGGUCCCGGCGCUACCUUGGCACUCACUCUUCGCCGUCGUCGCCGCCGCCGCCGCUGCUGCCGCCGCCUGGGAGUCCGGCUCUCCGCGCUCCCGGGACCGCCCGACCUCUCCUCCCUACUCCGCUCCAGCUCCUCCCCUCGCGCGUGGGCGGGGCGCACGGCCCGGUGGGCGGGGCUGUCGCCGCCACCCCCUCCGCUCUGGCCCACGGGCAUGGGACGUGGUCGCCGCGCCCAACUGCGGCCGUCGGGGGUCAGGACACGCGUGCCCGCGGCUGGGUUGGUGCAGCUCGCUGCGGUGCGGUGGGCCCGGGCAACCACGCGAGGCCACCACCAUACAUCACCACCAGGACCACACACCGCAGUCCCCAGGCUGCGAAGAUGAGCUCUGCCAAACCCCACACAAAAGUGGGGCUCUGAUCCAGAAAGGUCUGAGGAAACGGCCACCGUCAUAUUUAAAGGACUCUGGGGCAACAGGGAGGUUGUUUCCCAGAAAUGGAGCUUUAUGAACACUGAUUCCACGGAUACUUCUUGCCUGCCAGCACCUGCAUCUUAUGGCAGAACUACCACAUUCAGCUUGAGAGUGUUCUAUCCCUGGGCACAGGGCAGCUGGAAGAACCUGGCAACUACUGUACUUCUUACAUCGGUUCUUUAAGCAGUGACAAGAGUGGAGGUAAAAAACGCUCCAUCUGUUUUGACACCAAUUGGAAUAACUGGAGGCUGCGUCUAAGAUGUCAGCAACACUCCCUGCAGUGGUUGGAUAAGCAUCUCUCCUUGUCUCCAGCUCUUUGCUUAGU